rnacentral:rRNA from 1 species
UGAGGAAUAUUGGACAAUGGGCGCAAGCCUGAUCCAGCCAUGCCGCGUGUGUGAAGAAGGUCUUCGGAUUGUAAAGCACUUUAAGUUGGGAGGAAGGGCAGUUACCUAAUACGUGAUUGUUUUGACGUUACCGACAGAAUAAGCACCGGCUAACUCUGUGCCAGCAGCCGCGGUAAUACAGAGGGUGCAAGCGUUAAUCGGAAUUACUGGGCGUAAAGCGCGCGUAGGUGGUUUGUUAAGUUGGAUGUGAAAUCCCCGGGCUCAACCUGGGAACUGCAUUCAAAACUGACUGACUAGAGUAUGGUAGAGGGUGGUGGAAUUUCCUGUGUAGCGGUGAAAUGCGUAGAUAUAGGAAGGAACACCAGUGGCGAAGGCGACCACCUGGACUGAUACUGACACUGAGGUGCGAAAGCG